UCCCUACCAUCUCUUGGGACCAGAAGGAGCAAACGUCUGGCUUUUUCUUUCCUCCACAUCUUGUCUUUGUUCAUUAAGAAUACCACUCCUGGCUUAACAUCACCUUUCUGGUAUUCUUCCCCAAAAUAUAUACAUUUAACCUUAUUGUGAGAAAAUGUUGGAUAAACUCAGAUUGAGGGACCUUCUCUACCGUAUUUGCUUUAAAACUAUAGAGAUCACGGGACUUCCCUGGCAGCCCAGUGGUUAAGGCUGAGCGCUACCAAUGCAGGGCUUGGGAGUUUGCUUCUUGGUUGAGGAACUAAAAUCCCACAUGGCACAUGGCUUGGUCCAAAACAAACAGCAAAGAAAACUGUAGGGAUCAUGAAAGACAAGGAAAGACUAAGAUAUAUAUAAUCAUAGCCUAGAGGAGACUCAUGCACUAGAUUCAGGGUGAUGUCAUGAAUUGGAAGAAAGAGAAAAUUAGUAGAAAACCAGGAAGUCCAAAUCAAGUCUGGCACCAAUGUCCAUUUCUUAGUUUUAGUCAUUAUGUAUGGCUGGGGAAGGGUACAGGAGACCUCUUGGUACCAUGCUUGCAGCUCUUCUGUAAAUAUGCAGUCACUUCCAAAAAAUAAAUAAGUAAAUAAACAAUGAAGGGAAAACUUCACAGUCUAAGUAACUGGUAGAAUACAGAUCAUUUCUACUCUAUGGAAAAUUCUUAUGCUCUGCAUUCACCUGUUUCUUGAUAGGAUGAAAUGGGAAAAGAUGGGACUGGUAGGAAAUCUUCGCUUAACAAAGCCUGGCUUUCAAGUCUUGUCUUUUGCAGGAUAAAACAUUUUAUUGUGGAUGUUGUAUGCUGAGCACUGGGAUUCCCUGGAGGCUCAGUAGUAAAGAAUCCACCUGCCAAUGCCGAAGAUGCAGGUUCAGUCCCUGGGUCUGGAAGAUCCCCUAGAGAAGGAAAUGACAACCCACUCUAGUUUUCUUGCCUGGGAAAUCCCAUGGACAGUGGAGCCUGGCGGGCUGCUGUCCAUGUGGUCCCGAAAGAGUCAGACACAAUUUUGUGACUAAAUGACAACUGUCUGAACAUUAACUAUUUCCCGUUGUCUUUACAAUCUUGCUGUAACAACAGGAAAAAAUCACCGUCACCUGAAAGUGGGCUUCCUCGGACAGUGAAGAAGGUCAUGAACAUAGAAGUUUGAGUGAAAAAGUUGACUUAAAGCUCAACAUUCAGAAAACUAAGACCAUGGCAUCCAGUCCCAUCACUUCGUGGCAAGUAGAUGGGGAAACAGUGGAAACAGUGGCUGACUUUAUUUUGGGGGGCUCCAGAAUCACUGCAGAUGGUGACUUCAGCCAUGAAAUUAAAAGACGCUUACUCCUUGGAAGGAAAAUUAUGACCCACCUAGGCAGCAUAUUAAAAGGCAGAGUCAUUACUUUGCCAACAAGGUCUUUCUAGUCAAAGCUAUGGUUUUUCCCAUAGUCAUGGAUGUAUGUGAGAGUUGGACUGUAAAGAAAGCUGAGCACAGAAGAAUUUAUGCUUUUGAACUGUGGUGUUGGAGAAGACUCUUGAAAGUCCCUUGGACUGCAAGGAGAUCCAACCAGUCCAUCUUAAAGGAAAUCAGUCCUGGGUGUUCAUUGGAAGGACUGAUGUUGAAGAUGAAACUCCAAUACUUUGGCCACCUUAUGCGAAGAGUUGACUCAUUUGAAAAGACCCUGAUGCUGGGAAAGAUUGAAGGCAGGAGGAGAAGGGGACGACAGAGGAUGAGAUGGUUGGAUGGCAUCACCGACUCAAUGGACAUGGGUUUGGGUAAACUCCAGGAGUUGGUGAUGGACAGGGAGGCCUGGCGUGCUGUGGUUCAUGGGGUUGCAAAGAGUCAGACACGACUGAGUGACUAAACUGAGCUGAGCAUGCUAUUUUAAUAUGAAAAGCAAUGGUAUUUAUCUUUUUUUAAAUAAUAAUUUUAUUAAUAUGCCCCUAUUUGUCCUUUGAAAAUUUGAUAACUUUGUAUACUAGUAAUUCUCUAACAGGUAAUUGAUUUUAAAAAAUGGAAAUAGAUAAGAUAGUUUUUAUUAAAUAAAAGCAAGAAGUAGCCAUAUAAAAUACUUGCUUAAUUAAUAAGUAGGCCAUAAAUAUCCUAAUGAGUUAUUUCCUGGUGAGAAAUAAGAAUUGCCCUGGCUCAGGAUUAUAUUUUCUUGGAAUAUCAUCAAAGCCAAAAGUAAUAACUAUUCUAACUUUGCAUCUUAAGGAGUAGUUUUUAACAUUCCUGCAUAGAUAAGAUAGCUCCUGGAAUCUUCCCAGUGCCCAACUAUUUCUUUGAUGACUCAAUAUACCAUUUGAUUUAUUAAUAUGAAUGUUAAAUGACACAUUUAUUAAAUGCUUAUUUGGUAUUUAGAUAUUGUUGACUACUGAGCAUACCAGAGGGUGUGAGGUCUGGCCCCUGACCCAAAGGAACUACAAUAUUUUGGGGGAACAAGUAACAUGAAACAAAUGGAAAAAAAAAUUGUAUGAAUAUAAUCCAAACAUCAAUUGACUGAAGAGAUAAAAGCCAAGGUAUUUGUAUAAAGCAAAUGAUAAAUAUGGGCUGAAAAGGUGCAGCUUGUCCUGCUUUGGAAAGAUGAGUGGGAAUCGGCCUGAGAAAGUAUGGGAAAACAUUUCAGUUGGGGAGAUGAAGGGCUAAAGUCCAUUGGCUGAAUUUAUUAGUUGUGGUUGUGUUUACCACCGUUCCUCAAAGUCUGGGGCACCCAGGGCAAUAAAACUAUCUGGCCCUCUGGCUGGAAGGGGCAAUACUGAGAUAGGUGAUGAGGUAGGAUGCCCCACGGAGUGGUCUUCAUGGCUUCGCUGACGUCCACAUCCAGGUUAACUCUCACUUCUCUGAGAACCUUCUCUACUCAAGCCCUGAACGCUGGGCUUCCCCAAAUUCCUUCCAGCUUCUUUUCUGACCCAAUUUCCAAUUUUCAUCCCCUGGAUGAAAGUAGAGGGUUCUAAACUAUCCACUCCUAUGGUUUAAAGCAUCUACCCAGGUCCUUGGAGAAGUGAUUGAUUCCAGCGCUAGGGCAGGGAUGAUGCAAGGUGAGUCUUGGGAAUCCUAUAGUUACCAAAAUGUAAAGAAAUACUAAGGGUGCCAGCAGGUGGAAAGGACAUGGGGCCAACUUGAAACUGCUCUCAGUGACCAAAGCAAGAACCAUUUCAGUAACAAAAUACUGGAUUAUGAAACAAUGAAAUGGAUACUCAGAAGUCCAUACUGACAUAGAUAAAUGAUUGAAUAAGUAAAUGAUAGAGAAAGGAUAACUCCUUCUUACAGAAGAAUUCCAUUAAUAAAUGAAAAAGGAACGAAGGAAAUAGCAAGUCAUCAGCAGACCACUAGAACAUUAGUAAAAAUGUUAGUAAUUAGUAAAAAUUAGGCAAAAUUCAUAAAAAUUAGGCAGGAUUCAUCUAUAUAUGCUAAAAUGAGUGGGCAAAAGUUUAAAGAGAAAAUAGAUAUUUGCAUAGUCUCAAAAUAUUGUUCCUCAGAUAUUUAUUAUUUACAAAGGGAAAAAGAAUAACUUUAUAGAAGCUACAAACACAGUAGAUACCAGCUUAAUCAAGCGAUCAAGUUUAAUACCACUUGGAUAUGAUAUGGAGGCUGAGUGGUAAAGAAUCCACCUGCAAUGCAAGAGAUAUGAGUUCCGUCCCCGGGUCAGACAGAUCCCCUGGGGAAGAAAAUGGCAACCCACUCCAGGACUCUUGCCUGGGAAAGCCUGUGGACAGAGGAGCCUGGCAGGCUACAGUCCACGGGGUCACAAAAGAGUGGGACACGACCGAGCAACUAAACAACAGUAGGAUGUGCGACCCUGACAUGCUGCACUCAGAGGGGCCCCAGCUCUGUGAUAUCAUCCCUAUCAGUGCACAACCUUCAUCUGAUCAUGUGAAACCACCAAACGAGUGUGGAUGGAGGAGCACUUUACAAAAUAAUUGACUAGUACUCAUCAAGAGUGUCGAGGUCAUGAAACACAGGGAUAAACUGAGGGAAUGUCCCAGACUGGAGGUGGAGAAGGAGACACAACAUCUAAUACAUCUAAUAAUGAAUUGGACUUUGGAACAAAACAGGAGCAUUGGUGGAAACCUGGUAAAAUCUGAAUAAAGUCUGUAAUGUAGUGACUGGUAUUGUAACUGUUAAUUUCCUACCUGUGACCACUGCACCAUCAUUAUGCGAGAUGCUAACAUUAGGGGAAGCUGGGUGAAGAGUAUAAGGCACCUCUGUACUAUCUCUGCAGAUCUUCUGUAAAUAUAAAAUUGUUUGAAAAUUAACAGUUUAAAAUAAAUAAAACGUGUUUAUCCCAAA